UUGGAGGGCAAGUCUGGUGCCAGCAGCCGCGGUAAUUCCAGCUCCAAUAGCGUAUAUUAAAGUUGUUGCAGUUAAAAAGCUCGUAGUUGAAUUUCGGGGUCAGUAGGUUGGUCGUGCCACCGGUACGUACUGGUCUCACUGAUUCCUCCUUCCUGAUGAGCUGUAAUGCCAUUAAUUUGGUGUUGCAGGGAAUCUGGACUGUUACUUUGAAAAGAUUAGAGUGUUUAAAGCAAGCUAACGCUUGAAUACAUUAGCAUGGAAUAAUGAAAUAGGACGUUCGAUCCUAUUUUGUUGGUUUCUAGGAUUGACGUAAUGAUUAAUAGGGAUAGUUGGGGGCAUUAGUAUUCAAUUGUCAGAGGUGAAAUUCUUGGAUUUAUUGAAGACUAACUACUGCGAAAGCAUUUGCCAAGGAUGUUUUCAUUAAUCAAGAACGAAAGUUAGGGGAUCGAAGACGAUCAGAUACCGUCGUAGUCUUAACCAUAAACUAUGCCGACUAGGGAUCGGAUGAUGUUAAUUUUUUAAUGACUCAUUCGGCGCCUUACGGGAAAA
rnacentral:rRNA from 1 species